AUGCAGCACAGCCAGGAGAGCCCCUGGCCCCUGAAUACUACCUUCAGAUGGAGGAGGGAAAAUAACAUCUACAGGCAUGGUAAUGUCUUCACUUUGCUACAAGAUGCAGAUGGAUCACUCUUUGCCAGCUUUCAAGGCAAAUAUUGCUGUAUAGUCCUUGCCCUCAGCAACAUCCUCAGUGUCCUGGUGAUGGGUGCUUUGAAAGGAUCGGGCAGAAGAGACGUCAUGCUGCCUCUGCACAUCAGGCUCUCUGUUCUGUUGCAUUUUCGGAGGGGAACCAAAAGGAAUGGAAGAGCAGCAUCAGUCUCUGAAUAACAAAUCUUAUUUUCUCCAUGGAAUAGUUCUUCAAGAAUGAAACAG
rnacentral:lncRNA from 1 species